GAAAAAAAAAAAGGAGAGGUAAAAUAGACAGGGCUUUCUGGAGAGGACUGAAUAGCCAUUCAGGUUAAUCUGCUUCUUAGACCUUCCCCGAAAGCCCUGGAGGAAUAUCACAAUGGGCAUGAGGUCAUCUGUUCAUGGCAUCACCUCUGCCACUAGAAUGUAUUGUUAUUCGCUACCGUGCCUUUGUUGCGUCUAAAAGAAACAGCUUGUUCUCUGAGACGUUGUUUUGAGUCAUCUCACUCCCACAGUCCUCUGGGAGUGGAGAUAAAGUUUGUGGUUAUUGGAUGCACUUCCCCGGAGGGGGCACAGCAGCCUGGAGGAGAAGGAAAACCUCAAAACUGUGGCUGAGUACUAUAGAUGAGACCAGGCCAUCCCUAAAACCACCAAGGGGACAAUCAUUCGAGAGACUGGAGGAUGAGCAGUGCAGGACUAUGGUCCUUGGCAGCUAGAUAAUUCACAAGAGGGGCUCUGUAACCCUUUCUGCUGGAGGAGAGCUUUUCAUCUACCCAUAGAUCUAAGGAUCUAGUGGGCGACAUAACACUUAAAAAAUGUGAUCAACUCAACAUAAAGAAUCAACAGAAAAACACAACGUAAAAGAGGGAUUAAGACAGUCAACAAGAUGACCAACUUAAAUCCAAGUGGAUUUCCCUUUACAGAUUUUGUUCGUGCCUAGUUGCUCAGGAUAGAAGUGUUAGUACUCGGCACAGGUGGUGAAAAGUGGGGACAGUUAGUCCUGAUCUUGUUCCCAGACUUUAGAGAAAAGCUUUCAGCCUUUCCCAUUGGCCAUGCCGUUGACCGUGAGUUUUUCAUGCACAGCCUUUAAAGUGUGGAGAAAACUGCUUUCUAGGUCUAGCUAUUUCAGUUUACAGACAGUAGGAUUAUCUUAGAUGCCUUCAAUUAUAGGAAAGUGUAUAUUGUUGCCAUCAAUGACCCCUGCAUUGACCUCAACUCCGUAAUUUGCAUGUUCUGGAAUGACUCUACACAUGGCAAGUUCAACUGCACAGUCAAGGCUGAGAAUGGGAAACUUGUCAUCAACCGGAAGGCCAUCACCAUCUGCCAGGAUCAAGAUCCUGCCAACAUCAAAUGGGAUGAUGCUGGUGCCAAGUAUGUAGUGGAGUGUACUGGUAUCUUCACCACCAUGGAGAAGACAGGGACCCAAUUCAAUUUGAGCCCAAAGGGUCAUCAUCUCUGUCCCUUCUGCUUAUGGCCCCAUGUUUAUGAUGGGUGUGAACCACAAGAAGUAUGAAAGCUCACACAAGAUUGUCAGCAAUGCUUCCUGCACCACAAACUGCUUAACUCUCACCCCACCCCCUGCCAACUUUCCAUGACAACUUUGGCAUGGAAAGACUCAUGACCAGUCUAUGCCAUCACUGCCACGCUGAAGACUGUGGAUGGCCCCUCUGGGAAGCUGUGAUGUGAUGGCCAUGGGGCAGCCCAGAACAUCAUCCCUGCAUCCACUGGUGCUGCCAAGGCUGUGGCGGGCAAGGUCAUCCCAGAGUUGAAUGGGAAGCUCACAAGCAUGGCCUUCCAUGUUCCUACACCCAAUGUGUCUUUCAUGGAUCUGACAUGCCACCUGGAGAAAUCUGCCAAGUACUAUGACAUCAAGAAGAUGGUGAAGCAGGAAUCAGAGGGCCCACUAAAGGACAUCCUGGGCUACACUGAGGACCGCUUGUCUCCUGCAACUUUCAUAGUGACAGCCAUUCUACUUUUGAUGUUGGGGCUGGCAUUGCUCUAGGUGACAACUUUGUAAACCUCAUUUCCUGGUAUGACAAUAACUACAGUUAUAGCAACAGAGUGGAGGACCUCAUGGCCUACAUAGCCUUCAAGGAGUAAGAAGCCCUGGGCCAUCAAGACCCUACUCCAUCAAGAACAUGAGAAGAAGAGUGAGGCCCUUGGCUGCUGAGUCCCUGUCUGAACUCAGUCCCCCACAUAGAGCAUCUCCGCUCACGGUUUCUAUUUCAGACUCCCCGAAGAAGGGAAGGAGCUUAGGGAGCCCUACUCUCUUGAAUACCAUCAAUAAAGUUCACUGUACAAAAAUAAGUAAAAUAAAGAAAAAAAGUCUAUACUAUUGUUCAUGUGGAUUUUA